rnacentral:rRNA from 2 species
UUUGGUGGCGAUGCGCUUAGGGAAAACACCCGUUUCCAUACCGAACACGAUGGUUAAGACCUAAGCGGCCGAGGGUACUAUACUGGAGACGGUAUGGGAGAGUAGGUGGCCGCCAAGC